AGAGCGGGAACAGGACCAUUCCUAGUGCCCUCUGACCUGGAUGUCCUGGAUGCCAGCAAGGAUUCAGGCCCAUGCCAGCUGGGGCAGUGGUUUUGUGACCACACCCCUGAGUCCGGAAUGCUUUGUGAUGCCGCACAGCUCAUGUGUGCCCACUGGCAGAAAGCAGGAGCUGGGCCUCCUUGGCUCUCUGACCUGGGCCUACAGCCCCUCCGGACACCUCUCCUCUCAGCGGCCCUGCAUCCCCUUCAGGAGUGGUAAAUGCUACUCCAGCAUCUGAAGAGUUGAGGUCAAGCCUCUGACACAGCCUCGCACUAUGACCUUGAGGAGCCCGCCGACCUCCAUAGGGCUUCCAUUUCCCAGUAUCCGAAACGAUGGAGAGACAAUGGCCUUGUCCUGCUCAUCUGUCAGUUAUAUUAAGGGCUGAACAAAGUCAGA